AACCUGGGAACUGCAUUCGAAACUGGCAGGCUUGAGUCUUGUAGAGGGGGGUAGAAUUCCAGGUGUAGCGGUGAAAUGCGUAGAGAUCUGGAGGAAUACCGGUGGCGAAGGCGGCCCCCUGGACAAAGACUGACGCUCAGGUGCGAAAGCGUGGGGAGCAAACAGGAUUAGAUACCCUGGUAGUCCACGCCGUAAACGAUGUCUACUUGGAGGUUGUGCCCUUGAGGCGUGGCUUCCGGAGCUAACGCGUUAAGUAGACCGCCUGGGGAGUACGGCCGCAAGGUUAAAACUCAAAUGAAUUGACGGGGGCCCGCACAAGCGGUGGAGCAUGUGGUUUAAUUCGAUGCAACGCGAAGAACCUUAC
rnacentral:rRNA from 2 species